AGAUUUUUUUAAGGCAAUGUUUAGUUAGGUUUGGACAAUUUUCAAGUUUUUUUCAGAGGAGUUAGUGUUAAGUUUUUGGGAGUCUCUGUUACAAACUAAAUUUGCAUGCUGAGUGAAUACCCGUAGAAUUGAGAAUAAGCAAAAAUAAAUGGAAACAUACUGACUUGCUGAUGAACAAAAGUUACUUCGCGAGUAUUGGAACUAGUCGUUUUCGUGGUCGGAUGUUUGAGGAUAGUUCGGAACAUUGCAGUUGAAAGGAAAAGAGGGAACGGCUGUAAAGGGGAUAAAGGGCUGAUACUGGAUACCAAAAUUUAAUAUUGGAUCCGAACCUGGAGGAAUUGCUGGACAAUAAGCUACAGGAUAUGAAAACGGUGGAGUAAUAAAUUGCUGCAAUGGAACAUUCUGUUGGAUAGGAGAGUUGGAUUUAGACUUUUGAAGCUCUUGUUCGCAUCUAUCAGGAGCAUAGCGGAUUUUGCUCUUCUUGAACAAAGGAUGUAUAGGCAAGCCAUUGACAGCCUUCAUGGCAUUAGAUAUAUUUGUAUAGGCAACGAAUCCAGAACUUCUAUUUUUUAAAUAUUUAAUUGAUUCAAUCUCUCCAUACUGACGCAGUAUGAGCUCUAACUCUUCGGUAGUAAGUGAAUCUGAUAUAUGGCUGAAGUAAACAUUUCUGGAAGCGCCCAUCAAUAUAGAAUCUUCUAAAACUCUGGGCAAAGGUCCACUUUCUUUACCCCAUCCUACUUUAAUUCUUCGACCGUGUAAUAAAACUUCUUCCUCAGCCAAGUAGUCGUGGAAAGCGUUGGCGGCCGAAUACGUUAUAAAUGUAACGAAGCAUAUAUGUUUUUCAGGAAUAUAGUGGAAGUCUUGUAACCCUCCAUGUCGGAUUAGAUCGCAUAUUUCAUGUCCUUUAGUCUUAGUAUGGAGAUUGCCAAGGAAGACAGUACGGUUUCCAUUGUCUUUUGAUUCCUGCUGCCUGCAACGGUCAGACGUGGUAUCCGGAUUUUGCUUGGAAGUGAAACAUGACCUUUCAUCAAAUGAAGGUGGAUGAUUUGCACAGCGAUCUGAGCCAAAAAAUAUUCGCCAUGAGUGAUAGUCAGGAUCGCAAGAUAAGGUACGAACAACCUUGAUUGCGUCGCGGAUGUUCAAAAAGUGAACAAAAGCAAUAUUCUUUUUCGAGAGGAUUUUUAUGUGCUCAAUCUUGCCGAAUUUACCAAACGCUUCUUCAAUUUCCUUCUCGUGAUAAGAAGAAGGAAGAUUGCCGAUGAACACAUUACGGCUGGCCGCAGUGUUCGAGCAAAAAUUUUGAAUCGAUUCAGGUAAAGGAGAAGGUCUAGCAAAUGUCAAUUUGAGUGGCCUACCAUGAAAAAUGAAUCCACGAGGAUGGUACCUUUCAUAAAAGAAAAAGGCAUCAGCAGAAUCAAGAAAUGUAAUUAUAAUCCUGCGUUUUCCAGGGUUGGACUGAAUCUUCUCUAAUGGUCCAGAGUGGAUAAGCGAAAGUAAUUCGGAAAUUUUGUAGUCAACUGGCAAGUUACCAAGGAUUAAAGCACGAAAAUCUAACAAGGAUUCGUAUUCUGAAUUGAAUGGUGAAAAUUGCUCCGCAGGUUGUUGGGCAAACGGAGGAGGAGUACCUUCUCGAGGUAGGAAAUUUGGACGGUUUACAGGUUUUGCAUGAUACAUAUUGUCGGUAUAGUGGGCAUAGGGCAUCGGUAUGAAGGUGUUUGCUGAAACAUACAUGUUGGGGUAAUAGGUUGAAGGUGGAGAAGGAUAAAUGACUGAAGAAGAGUCCUGGUCAAAAUGAGGAUAACAAGGAGAAUCGAGUUGUUCGGGAGGGGGAUUCAUUGAUUUAGGAGCAUACCCAUUAUGAGAUUUCGGAAUAAAUUCUGCGGCAUUGAUGUUUACAUGGAAAGAAGGAUUAGGUGAAAGAUUUUUGUGCUUUUUACCACCACAGUCAAGGUUGGUACAUUCAUUAUUGUCCACUGAAUUAAGACUACUGUUAUCAUCUUCUGAAUCAUUUAAAGUGCAAAUGCUGUUGGCCGUGCCAGUACUUCCUGUCUCUUGAAAGCAGCAAUCACUAUCAACGAAGUGACCGUUGUUUGCUUGGUCUUUUUCAAGAACACGGUCGGUCUCAACUUCACUUCCGGCACAGCCAAUUUUGUGCAUAAUAGCCAUUAUAGUGUUAAAAAAAAAGAAUUGAGUGAGAAUAUGGAUGCUUCAAAAUAUAGAGUGCUUUAGACUGAUGAGUUUCGCUUCAAAAUUAGUAUCGAUUUAAAUGCUGUAUUCGAUGGUCAAAACUGGUGAGAGGGACACUUAUUUAUAGAUAAAAAAAAUCAUAUCGUGUCAAGUUUUCGUAACAGCUAAGCACCAUUUCAAAUGUAAACAUUGCUAUUUUCGCAAGCAUUCCCCGCAAAGCUGUCCCACAUUUCUUAAAUAGAAGGACGAAUCAAAAGGCACAAAGUUGCAACUCUAAAACGUCAGGAUGGCCCACAAACGACGAAUGCGACGGUAAAUCCGCUGCCACUCUUCGCUAAAGUCGACGUAAUGUACUUAUUUUAGCGAGGCUUAAUAGUUAAAAUUACUUACGUCCAAUCAUAGUUGUCCCUUUAAGUUAUUCGGUUCUUAUUAUGACUGCACAGUGACUACCACCAAUUCCUCGCGAAUAGUACAGUCAUGAUAAAGGGCUGGUAGACAGCCAUUUCUAAGCCUUGAAAUUACCUUUAAUAAAAACCUCGAGAGCCAAUAGACUUUUUGGGUGCAAGAUUUACGAUUAGCCAGCCUUCCCCCGCCUUUUAAACUGCCAGAGCAAAAUUAAGAGUAGAUAGGUAUCCCCCAUAUCCCUUAUACCGAGCAAUGCAAAUACUGAUCCAAGGCAACAAUACCAUCAACCUUACGAAGAGUACUCAAAAAUAUUGUUAAAGAAUUACGUAUACUGUGUUAGAUGCUUCAAAUUGCCCGUCCACUUCUAGCAUGAUUGUUGCUGUUUUGAAGUUAUCGACAUUGUGGUUCAUAAGGUUUUAGCUUCAUAAAGCCUAUUAUAUAAUGUGAUGCGUUUCGUUAGAUAGUAAAAAAGUUCGGCUAG